rnacentral:rRNA from 1 species
UACGAAGGGGGCUAGCGUUGCUCGGAAUCACUGGGCGUAAAGGGUGCGUAGGCGGGUCUUUAAGUCAGGGGUGAAAUCCUGGAGCUCAACUCCAGAACUGCCUUUGAUACUGAAGAUCUUGAGUUCGGGAGAGGUGAGUGGAACUGCGAGUGUAGAGGUGAAAUUCGUAGAUAUUAGGAAGAACACCAGUGGCGAAGGCGGCUCACUGGCCCGGUACUGACGCUGAGGCGCGAAAGCGUGGGGAGCAAACAGGG